GCAAAACAAAUGUGUAAAGUUAGCUAUACAUGUUUAAUCACUUGAAGAAAAGCACAUGUAACUUUCGUGAUAAAAAUGUGAAUGUCCUUUAAAAUGCAGCUGGGAUUGUUUAGUUGACAUUCGUAUUUGAAUUAAGGAAGAGUAUUAGUGAAAUUUAUUUAUUUUAAGGUAGCAUCUUUUGAGGCCUGGAUGAUCAACCUACUUUUCUAAGGAAGGACCCUUAUAUCUGCAGAAGAUGGGAUAACAAAUGUGCUCUGAGCUCAGGCUCUAACCUGCUGAAUGUGGGUAAGUGAAGAAGCACACCCAUCUUCUCCUUAUACCAACAAACCUAAUAGCCAAAAGAUAGUCAGAAAGGAUAUAUGGUGAGAUAGAAGGUAAAGAGAGAGCUUGUGAAGGUGGAGCAGCAUGAGUUCCACUACUUUGGAUCCCAAGGUCAGCUAGAAAUAAAACUUUUUAACCUACUAAGCUCUCGCAUAUUCCUCUGCAGGGCUGUCAUAAUCUCUGAUCACUUUUUUAACCACUUUUUAACAGCCAAAACAGCUGUUACAGAAAUAGUAAUUAAAAAACUUCAAACAGAAGUAUGAAAUUGAUAGUCUCAACAAUUUGAAAAUAAAUGGGUACUAUUGUAACCAUGAUAUAAAUGCUAUCUGUUAAACAAUCAAUUGCAUCCAUUAGUAUUCUCUCCAAACUACCUCCUUUUCAUUAGGCAGUGUUCCAUAUAUCUCAAGAUCAUAUCAUCUGAAGAAGUAGGUUUUGCCCAUGAAAGCUCAUGAUACUAUAUCCAUCUAUCCAUCUAUUAGUCUCUAAGGUGCCACAGGACUACUCGUUUUUAAAGUUACAGAUUAACACGGCUACUUCUCUGAAUGUUCCAGGAAGGUGCAGUAAAAUCAGAAAAACAGGAGUGGGAGUGAAAGCUGUUGUGAAAAAUAUUAGGUUUCUAAUGAAGAUAAACAAUUGAACAGCUCUGAAGAAAACAAAGAAUAUUACUAUAUACAAUACUAAGUGCUAAAAAGUGAGCAAUGAGUAAUAACAACUGUGGCAUCACAUAGACAUAUUAGGGAUAUGCUCUAUGAGCCCAUCUUUUGUACCUCACUGAUUGUGAAAAAGCACUGGAGACGAUAUCUGCAACGGCAGAGCUAGUGUAUCUGGCUCCUAUUGCUUUCCUUAACCCCAGCAACCCUCUAUAUAGGGAACAAGUUUGAAAACAGUGCAAUUCAAUUAUCCAAGAUGCUCUCUUGGAGACUGCAUCAGUUGUUGAAAACUAGAAUGCAUCCAAUUCAAGCAUCUCCAGCCUAGGCAAAGCUGGGAAGAGAAUCAGGGAUACAUAGCUGGGCUUCCAACACUGAGCCAAAUAAACUUAGGAGAGGAUCUGGCUCUACUUCUCUAAAAAUAUAGGUUCACAUACCUAUAAAUGUGUACUAAUGCGAGAAGUAUGGGGAAUAAGCAGGAUGAACUCAAAAUGCUAGUAAAUAAACAGAACUAUGAUAUAAUUGGCAUCAUAGAUUGGAUGAGAUAAUAUGAUGGGAUAAUAUGCAUGGCUGGAAUAUUGAUGUAUAAGGAUACAACUUGCUCGGGAUGGACAGGCAUGGAAAAAAGUAAAUGUUGCCUUAUAUAUUAUAAAGGUAUACACUUGGCUUGAAGUUGAGAUGGAAAUAGGACACAGACUUCUUGAGAGUCUGUAAGUAAGGUUAAAGGGGGUAAAAAACAAGGGUGAUGUCAUAGCAGGCAUAUACUGCAGACCACAUAACCAGGAAGAAAAGGUCCAUGAGGCUUUUUGUGAAGAACUAACAAAAUCAUCCAAAGCUCAGGACUUGGUAGUGAUGGGGGACUUCAACAAUCUAAAUAUCUGUUGGGGGAAAUAAUACAGGUUAUCCAACAAGUUCCUGGAAUGUAUUAGAGACCACUUUUUUAUUUCAAAAGGUUGAGAAAGCUACCGGGGAGACGCUGUUCUAGAUUUUGUUUGUCAGUCAGCUGGUAUUUGUGUUUCAUUUUCCUGGACCAGGGAUUCGAUGGUACUGCCUGUAAGUUCCUUUCCUGAUUGCAAGGGAGAGGGGUCUCUGUUCAAGAAUGGUGAGAACAACUGGGCUUAGAGAAGCUAAGCUAAGUAUUUCCUCAAAGGUGGUGCCCCAAAGUCCAUCAUGAUGAUGGUGGUCAGAGCAAAGUGCUUGACCCCAGUGUGUGUAUAGCGGUGGGAGGGGAGGAAGGAGUGGAUUGUUGAACUUUUUUUUUCUUUUGAAAGGUAAAAUCUGACUGCAGACUUUUGAAGACAAAAGAAUUAAUGCUUCAAUUAGUUAACUACAAGCGGGUUCAGGAAAUGGAGCAUGAGGUGCAGCGUGCUCUCUCACUCUCUCUGUGCCUACACGGAGCUGGGGAUACAGAACAGCUUGUUCAAGUGUCUGCAGAUGGAGCACAAAUCCUGUUUGCACAGCUCCAUGAAAAUCUCACACAGGAACUUUUUAAUCCUUCUCACAAGAUUUUUGGGGAGGCCAGCCUUAUGCCAUCCUCCGCGGUAGGACAUCUUCCCACACCAAGCCACCAGUAAGUGAAGUGGUAGCAUGGAACCACAAACCAUAAGGUCCAGGUUUAUAGCCGCAUUCAUUCAGCAUUCACUCUCCAUUACUUGUGGUGAUUCGGAGAAGACUGAUAUCUCACAUGGCAACCUGGAGGGGGAAGGAUGAGGGGAACCUAUUAGCAGUCUCCCCAAGACUACAUGUGCUGAAUACACACACACACCCCUCUCACGGACAGGAAAAGAAGAAGUAUGCCACAUGUGCUGGACCCAGCAUGUUGCAGACUCAGCAUGAAGCCAACCCACCUCUUCUCCCUCCUGCCUGCAAACUGCUGCCUUGCCUGGGAAAGCACCAUGUCCCCAGAAGGUCCCAUAUGUUGGACCCAGCACGUGCCAGACACAGUAGGACGCCACCCUCUGCCACCACUCCCUUCCCACUUGCAGUCUCCUGGCCUGGCAGGCUGCUUACCAUGCUUGCCUGCCUCUGAUCAAGUGUGUCCUGAUGCUCCCCUGAGAUAUCUGGGCACCUACUAUAAAGUGCCCACUUUAAAGCUAACAUUUGGCCUUGCAUGGAACAAUUCUCCAUUGUCUUUACAAAGACCUUUGGUGUAUGGUAAGAGAUUAGGAGUAGGCUUCACACAAUGUAUCUACUGUUACAUCUGCCCUUGUAACUUGUCUUUGCAGCUGGGCUGACUGCCAGCUAGGUGUGUCCUCAACCUUACACUCCAUCUGCCUACCUGGCUCACAUCUGCAGGCACAAAUGCAUGAGCAAAGAAUGUUCCUGGAGCAAAUGGACUGCAUGCACACCCUCAUGGCAGAGAUCCAGGCAGAGCGACAGGAACAGGUUGCAGAGUGGCAGGAGAGGAGGGCUCACUAGACAGCAUAAAACAAUGUUUUCCAUCCUGACCACUGUCAUGGAACCAGUGGCAAUGUGCCUGAAGAGGGCCACUUCAUAGAACCCCAUCUGCCCUGAAGCUUCCACCCCCAGGGUUGCCAGGGGCCGCAGGGGCCCCAGGACAUGGGGAAUUUCAAGGGAAACCAGAGCCUCCAGGCCGUCAGAAGGCAGAAGAUAGUCCCACUCCUAUUCCUGAGCCCCCUUCUGGUUCCCAAUUCAUUCCUUUCCCUGUUGUUUUGCCCCAAAUGAAAAUUCCUGUUAUUUGCACAAUGGUCUUUUUAUUGGUUAAAUGCAGGGGAUAGAGUGGUGUCGGGGAUUAAAGGCAAAACCAGGAAACACAGUGCACCUUGUGAAAAGCCACAGGGAAGAGAGUCUCAAAAGAAGUCUUGCACAAAACUGUCCUUCAAAGUGUCUCUGAUUCACAUUGGCCCUUGCUGUGCUCUCCUUAUGGUGCUGAUGUCUGGCUGCUCAAACUCUUGGGCCAGGAGCUUUGACUCAGCCUCAAAUCCCUAAAUGGCCUCUGUAAGGAUUGAACUCACAACCCUGAGUUUAGCAGGCCAAUGCUCAAACCACUGAGCUAUCCCUCCCUGCAAAGCUAUCCCUCCCACCCCAACAGAAACAUUAUCCCCUUGUUCUCACACAAGUUGUGAAGCACACAACAGGCCAACACUACAAAGGGAAUGUUGUGUUUGCUGAAAUCCAAGCAGGUCAGGAGACUCCUGAAACACCCCUUUCAACAUCCAAAUGCACAUUCCACCACCAUUCUGCACCUGCUCAGACUAUUGUUGAACUCCGUCUUGCUGGGAGCCACGCUGCCCAUAUAGGGGUUCAUGAACGAUGGAAGCAAAGUGUAGACUGGGUCACCCAGAAUCACAAUGAGCAUCUCCACUCUCCAACUCGGAUGUUCCAAUUGGGGAAAAAAGUUCUAGCAUGCAUCUUUCGGAAGAGGCAGUACUUUCAAAACAUGUGGGCGCCACGCAUCUUUCCUGACCAACCCAUGUCGAUAUCAGUGAAGCAGAUUUUGUGAUCUAUGAGAGCCUGAGGUGCCAUGAAGAAGUACCCUUUGCAACUGAUGUAUUCCGAGACACAGGGCCAAGAUGGGUAUGUGUGAGCCAUCUAUGGCACCACCGCAGUUAGGGAAGCCCAUAGUGGCAAAGCCACUAUGUUGCCCAUGUUCCCCAGAGUCGUAACCCUCCAUAGCAGGAUGUUUUUGAUGGCCUUGGCUACUUGUAUAAGAACAGCUCUGACAAUAGUUUCCCCAACCCCAAAUUGAUUCCUAUCUGACCGAUAGCUGUCUGGUGUUGCAAGCUUCCAGAAAGAAAUUGCCAUGCACUUCUGCACAGUAAGAGUAGGUCUCAUGUAGGUAUUCCGAUUCCUCAAGGCAGGGGCAAGCCUUUUACAGAGUUCCAGGAAUGUGGCCUUGUGCAUGUGGAAGUUCUGCAGCCAUGGCUGAUCAUCCCAUCCCUACAUCACAAUGCAGUCCCACCAGUCUGAGCUUGUCUUCCAAUGCCAGAACUAGCAUUAUACUGUAUGCAGGGGACUAACUAGCAGCUGUGCUCACACGAACAUCAGGGUUUGCCUGAAUGGUGCCUCCGCAUCACGCCAAGGUUCGUCCUUUUCCUC